AGCAGCCGCGGUAAUUCCAGCUCCAAUAGCGUAUAUUAAAGUUGUUGCAGUUAAAAAGCUCGUAGUUGAAUUUUGGAUUCUGCCAAUUGGUCCAUCUUUUAGAUGAGUACUGGUUGUGUGGGGUCUAUCCGCCUGGUGAUACGUAAUGUCCUUUAUUGGAUGUUUCGGGUAGUCAGGACCUUUACCUUGAAAAAAUUAGAGUGUUUAAAGCAGGCUUAUGCCGGAAUACAUUAGCAUGGAAUAAUAGAAUAGGACGAAGUUGUUUUAUUUUGUUGGUUUCUAGGACAACCGUAAUGAUUAAUAGGGAUAGUUGGGGGCAUUAGUAUUCAAUUGUCAGAGGUGAAAUUCUUGGAUUUAUUGAAGACUAACUACUGCGAAAGCAUUUGCCAAGGAUGUUUUCAUUAAUCAAGAACGAAAGUUAGGGGAUCGAGGACGAUCAGAUACCGUCGUAGUCUUAAACCAUAAACUAUGCCGACUAGGGAUCGGGCGAUGUUGUUUCCAUGACUCGCUCGGCACCUUA
rnacentral:rRNA from 1 species